ensembl:lncRNA
CUGUGGCCUACUCUAGCCCACCCUCCCAGGGAGAGCUGUGGGCCCUGGAAGAGCAUACCCAUCCCUACGUGCUCAGUCGCUUCAGCCGUGUUCAACCCUUUAUGACCCGAUGCACUGUAGCCCGCCAGGCUCCUCCCUCCAUGGCGAUUCUCCAGGCAAAAAUACUGGAGUGGGUUGCCAUGUCCUCCUCCAAGGGAUCUUCCCAACCCAGAAAUCGAACCUACUCUUCCGUCUCUUGCAUUGGCAGACAAACAAAGACCUCGCUACCUAAAAGUUAAGCUGUGGCAUCA